rnacentral:rRNA from 1 species
AUUGAACGCUGGCGGAAUGCUUUACACAUGCAAGUCGAGCGGCAGCGCGGGGGCAACCCUGGCGGCGAGCGGCGAACGGGUGAGUAACGCAUCGGAACGUACCUUGUAGUGGGGGAUAACUAUCCGAAAGGAUAGCUAAUACCGCAUACGCCCUGAGGGGGAAAGGGGGGGAUCGCAAGACCUCUCGCUACAGGAGCGGCCGAUGUCCGAUUAGCUAGUUGGUGAGGUAAAGGCUCACCAAGGCGACGAUCGGUAGCUGGUCUGAGAGGAUGAUCAGCCACACUGGGACUGAGACACGGCCCAGACUCCUACGGGAGGCAGCAGUGGGGAAUUUGGACAAUGGGGGCAACCCUGAUCCAGCCAUUCCACGUGAGUGAAGAAGGCC